UGGCCGGUUCUUGGAAUCGUGAUACUUGCUGCGGUUGUCGUCGGAAGUCAAGCUAUCAUCACCGGGACGUUUUCUAUUAUCAAACAGUGUUCGGCAUUGGGUUGUUUCUCGAAGGUCAAAAUAAUCGACACAUCGCCUACUAAUAAGCACGAUCAAAUCUACAUUCCCGAGAUCAAUUGGACUUUGAUGCUUAGCCAUCACAACCGGUUUUCGUGACACCAAACAUAUAAGCAAUGCAGCAGGUAGACAAAGGUAGUAGGUGUCGAUCUUCUUACCAGGGAUGUUGCGUGGAACUGUAACAAAUAGAUGCUGACCAAAAGAGUGCUUGUCCUCUAAAUAAGAUAAAAAUCAUGUUCUUUUUUAUGCUACAUCAAAUUAGAAUAUUCAGUAAUCUACAUUAUAGAAAAUCACAUAGUUACAUCGUUGAUUUUUUGUCUUUA